GAAGAUAGGUAUAUUUUAUAUUUUAGAGUAUUUACCAGGGGCAGAACCAGUCCCACUGCACACAUCCAGAUGGGGGCUCAGAGAAGCGUUGCUGGUCCCACUAGGGACCUAUUAAUAGCAAAGGAAGAUUGGCCAGAUCUUUGUUAACAUCCCUUCCAGAAGAGUGUCUGCACUAACUUCAUGUGAGUGUGAGGGCUAAGUCUCUGAACUUAGAUGUUCUGUUUCUUAAACCGACUCUGCUUUCCUGUGGUUCAGACAUUUGAACCAGUCUCUGUUCUUUCUGAAAAAUGAUCCUGACGACACAGGGGCAGGGAGGUUCCACAGUAUGACAUAACGAGCAGCUGCCAACCGCACACAGGUACAGGAACGUGAAUUACCUAGGCCUCAGUGCUUGCUAGUGACUUUCAGAUCCUGGCCAGCAUCACCAUCACUGCCAAGCCCACCCUCACACCCGCUAGCCGAAAAGACGUCGUCGUUUAGUUGCUAGUGUUUCUGUUCGGUUGCUCAGUGUCUGACUCUUUGCGACCUCAUGGACGACAGCACACCGGACUUCCCUGUCCUUCACCAUCUCCCAGAACUUGCUCGUGGCCAACUCUUUGCAACCCCAUGAACUGUAGCCCACCAGGCUCCUCUGUCCGUGGGAUUUCCCAGAAUGCUGGAGCAGCAUGCGUGGGGCAGACAACGGGACCCCAGCCCCAGAGGGAGCAUCCGUCCCCGCUUCACCACUGCCAGAGUCACAGGAGGGAGCUCCCAGCCAGAGAAGGCUCCUGCCCUCGAGUGAAGGUGUGGCCGAUCCUCCUGGAGUCCUCGUUAAGAGUCCUUGUCACUCACUGGGCAGCCACCCUCUCUGGAAAUCUGAAUUCUCUUUGAAUAGUUUCUAUUUUAGUUAGGUUACUGUGCACAAGUAUUUUGCAUAAUUAUGGAGGGC
ensembl:lncRNA